rnacentral:rRNA from 1 species
AUCACGCUGGCGGCGUGCCUAACACAUGCAAGUCGAACGCGAAAGGGGGGCAACCCNCCGAGUAGAGUGGCGUCCGGGUGAGUAACACGUGGAUAAUCUACCUAGAGGUGGGGAAUAACUCUUCGAGAGGGGAGCUAAUACCGCAUAAUACAGCGAUGGGGCAUCCUGUUGCUGUCAAAGUGGGGGAUUCGAAAGAACCUCACGCCGUUAGAGGAGUCCGCGGCCGAUUAGCUAGUUGGUGAGGUAAUGGCUCACCAAGGCUGCGAUCGGUAGCCGGCCUGAGAGGGCGACCGGCCACACUGGCACUGAAACACGGGCCAGACUCCUACGGGAGGCAGCAGUGGGGAAUUUUGGGCAAUGGCCGAAAGGCUGACCCAGCAACGCCGCGUGAGGGAUGAAAUCCUUCGGGAUGUAAACCUCGUAAGUCAGGGAAGAAUAAACGUGACCUAACACGUCACGAUAUGACGGUACCUGACGUAAGCCCCGGCUAACUCCGUGCCAGCAGCCGCGGUAAUACGUAGGGGGCGAGCGUUGUCCGGAAUUAUUGGGCGUAAAGAGCGUGUAGGCGGUUCGGUAAGUCUGCCGUGAAAACCUGAGGCUCAACCUCGGGCGUGCGGUGGAUACUGCCGGGCUAGAGGACGGUAGAGGCGAGUGGAAUUCCCGGUGUAGCGGUGAAAUGCGCAGAUAUCGGGAGGAACACCAGUAGCGAAGGCGGCUCGCUGGGCCGUUCCUGACGCUGAGACGCGAAAGCUAGGGGAGCGAACAGGAUUAGAUACCCUGGUAGUCCUAGCCGUAAACGAUGGACACUAGGUGUGGGGGGAGUCGAAUCCCUCUGUGCCGCAGUUAACGCGUUAAGUGUCCCGCCUGGGGAGUACGGCCGCAAGGCUAAAACUCAAAAGAAUUGACGGGGGCCCGCACAAGCAGCGGAGCAUGUUCUUUAAUUCGAUGCAACGCGAAGAACCUUACCUGGACUUGACAUGGUGCUGCAAGCGCACGGAAACGUGUGACCUUCGAGGGUGCACCACAGAUGCUGCAUGGCUGUCGUCAGCUCGUGUCGUGAGAUGUUGGGUUAAGUCCCGCAACGAGCGCAACCCCUGUGGCGUGUUGCCAUCAUUAAGUUGGGGACUCACGCCAGACUGCCGGUGACAGACCGGAGGAAGGUGGGGAUGAGGUCAAGUCAUCAUGGCUCUUACGUCCAGGGCUAGAAACGUGCUACAAUGGCUGAUACAAAGGGUUGCACGACCCCAAGGUGGAGCGAAUCUCAUCAAAGUCAGUCUAAGUUCGGAUCGCAGUCUGCAACUCGACUGCGUGAAGGCGGAGUUGCUAGUAAUCGCGGGUCAGCAUGCCGCGGUGAUACGUUCCCCGGGCCUUGCACACAC